ACAACCAAAACAUUUUCCUUUGGUUUUAGUCUGGGUAGCUCAAAGGUGUGCUAUCUCCUUUUUUGAUUUGAGAAUUUAUGUCAGGAGGUCCUUUGGCUUGCUUAUGAGCAUAUGGUUGGGGUUUCUACCCUCCAGUGAGAUGGGAACUCUCUUUUUCCUUGUCAUACUCUACCUAAUUGGGCAUGAACAGUGGGAAGGAAACAUGUCUCUGUCCAUCUGGUAAGAAUUACCUGCCUUUUUUCCACCUCAGCCUCGCAAGGCAAAUGAGAAAGGGAGAGGAGUGGAGAAGUCAGGGAGACCUGGGGUGAAUUGACAUGGAACCAUUUGGGAUGCUUUCCCUACCUGCAAGCAAGUUGUGUGAUUUCAGCUCAUAGCUUUGUGGUACGAAGAAAGUGGAAUGCUUAAUGUUUGGAGAGGUGUCUAUCACCUGGAUUAAAUUAUCCUCGACACACUCCAAGAGUCUCCUGGACUGCUUACAGCUUGCUGUGCUGCUUUUCCAGCAGAUGUCAGGGUGAUUGAAGUCCCCCAGCAGGAUCAGAGGCUGCGAGCGUGAUGCCUCCUGUAGUUGAAGGCCGAGCCGGGAGGAGUGAGCGAGUGGAUUCGUGGUGCUUUGUUACUGGCUGGGCUUAAACCAUGACACUGGCCAGGGGAGCUGCUGGGACAUGGUGGUGAUCUGAAAGUACAGAAGGAGAUGAGUUCUUAUGAGCAGCCUCAUCUGUCACUGCAGCUCUGGAGGACUUUCUGAAACCCGAGCAGCUGGACGGUGAAAACUGUUUUAAAUGUAGCAAGUUGUGGAAUAUCCUAAGUACUUGGAUCUUUGGUCAUGCACAUCACAGACAGCUGGAGAACUGCUCCUCUACACCUUAUAUGCUGUCCCGGUACACAGUGGUGGCAGCUGUCAUGGGGAACACUAUUACUGCUAUACAAAGGGAAGCAAUGGACUGUGGUACGAGACAAAUGAUAUGUCUGUUGUUCUUCAUGACAUCAACAGCAAGCAACAACACUCCAUGACAUCAGGCAGCAAGCUUAUCUAUUGUUUAAUGUCAGGCCUCCAUCAUCAAGGGCUUUCUAGACGCUACUGGAUGAAGCCCCAAGCAUUGUGGUCAAACCUCCUAGCCACUGCUGCUUGGAGCUGGAGGCCUGAGGCCCUCCUGGUGUCCUUUUACCUGGAAUGAACCAAUGACCUCGUCACUCCUGGAUUUGUAAACAUAAACUGAUUUCUAAACAUAACUCCUGCCUGUAAUUUUUCCAGUGGAUUCCUUACCAAUAAAUUAAUUGGUCUUCCUUCCAUUAUCACAAACUGAUGGUAUAAUAAAAGAAGACCUACUUCUACUAAUAAAGGGAUUGUUAUCCCCGUUGUCAAUUCCUAGCAUCUAAAC